rnacentral:rRNA from 1 species
UACGAAGGGUGCUAGCGUUGUUCGGAAUUACUGGGCGUAAAGCGUGCGCAGGCGGUGAUGUAAGACAGAUGUGAAAUCCCCGGGCUCAACCUGGGAACUGCAUUUGUGACUGCAUCGCUGGAGUACGGCAGAGGGGGAUGGAAUUCCGCGUGUAGCAGUGAAAUGCGUAGAUAUGCGGAGGAACACCGAUGGCGAAGGCAAUCCCCUGGGCCUGUACUGACGCUCAUGCACGAAAGCGUGGGGAGCAAACAGG